rnacentral:snRNA from 1 species
GGAUGUGGGUGCAGCCUGGCUGGGACAUCAGUCACCCCAUUGAUGGCCGGGGGUGACUCGGUGGAUCAGGCUGGCUGGGCGGGUGUCCCCUUCCUCCCACACUGCUCCAUGUGCCCCACUCCAGAAGCUGCAUGCCCCAAAGAGGAAAACCUUCCCAGAACAGAGGACCAGCCUUUGGCCAAGGGUAUACGAGUAACUGCAUUCCCCUGCUUCCGAACAAGCGCAUAAGGUCUAUUUUUUAUUUUUAUUUAUGUGUUUCUGCAU